GGACUGAGGACCGCGCAUCUGCAAGGAUGCUGGCGUAAUGGUCACCAGCGACCCGUCUUGUAACACGGACCAAGGAGUCGU
rnacentral:rRNA from 1 species